GGUUUGGUGGUCUAGCGGUAUGAUUCUCGCUUAGGGUACACCCUGAACAAACAAGUUGCGAGAGGUCCCGGGUUCAAUCCCCGGCCAAACCC